rnacentral:lncRNA from 1 species
AUGGUCAAGGAAGUCAUUUGUGGAUUACGGAUUACAGCCAUGAGAGCAGAGACAAGAUUCACCAACGCAUAAAAUUGCUAUAUUAAAAUUCUACGUUCAAUAGAAAAUUCAUCAAAGAAAUGCCGUAAAGAAAAAAGAGAAAGUUGUGAUUCAGGCCAGAAAUAUGAGAUCCGCAUCACUCAACUUUUAUCGCCAAUUUGGAGCAACACGGUUUCUGUUUUAAGAUAAGUUUUCAAUUCACUUCAACCUUUUUGCACAUUUAUAACUAUUGUACAUUAACUUUGGUCCACAAUUAAAGGGGCAUUUUAGAUAUUUGAUCAAUAGCCACAUGUUUAUAAAGUGUCAAAUCAAAAAUUGCAUACAUUUAACCCUAAGAUCAAGAAACAUGCAAGUCAGCAAACGGCAAAAUUGUGACGAAUUCCUGUUCUAAAGGAUAUAUAUAAAAUAUUAACAAAAUUUAUAGCAAGCCAGGCAGGUUUUAAUGAAUUAAUUAUAUAGCCCGAGUCUGUUAAACAAAGUGGGGACAAGGGGCACACAUCAGGAUGAGAUUGGGUUGGAUCACAUGGGGAAUACAAACAGUAAAAUCCCUCCCACUCACAGCAAAGCUCUUGGUAGAGUCUUGGGAGGGUGGGAUGAGGACAAAGGGGGUAUUUUUGGUUCAGAUUAAGUCAACCUAAAGCAACCAUUUUUCACAAGUCAACCUAAGGCAGCUAUAUUUCGCAUGUCAACCUAAAGCAGCCAUUAAUCGCAAGUCAACCCAUAGUUGUUAAUAGCGGCUAUAGCGACCGCUAUAGCGCGCUACGUAGCCUUGCGACCAAGUGUCGCUAUAUGGGUCUUAGCGACGAAUAGCGAAGUUAGCGACAGUUAGGGUUUUUUUUUUUUUUAAGUUUUCACCUCUUGUUUGGGCCAUUUUUAAUAAUACAAAAAAACCCGCAUAAUCUGCUUAAAAAAGCAGAAGGUUAAAUUGUGUGUGUGUGUGUUUUUUUUUUAAGUUUUUCACCUCUCGUUUGGGCCAUUUUUAAUAAUAC